AGAGUUUGAUCCUGGCUCAGGAUGAACGCUGGCGGCGUGCCUAACACAUGCAAGUCGAGCGAUUCUCUUCGGAGAAGAGCGGCGGACGGGUGAGUAACGCGUGGGUAACCUGCCCUGUACACACGGAUAACAUACCGAAAGGUAUGCUAAUACGGGAUAAUAUAUAAGAGUCGCAUGACUUUUAUAUCAAAGAUUUUUCGGUACAGGAUGGACCCGCGUCUGAUUAGCUUGUUGGCGGGGUAACAGCCCACCAAGGCGACGAUCAGUAGCCGACCUGAGAGGGUGAUCGGCCACAUUGGAACUGAGACACGGUCCAAACUCCUACGGGAGGCAGCAGUGGGGAAUAUUGGACAAUGGACCGAAAGUCUGAUCCAGCAAUUCUGUGUGCACGAUGAAGUUUUUCGGAAUGUAAAGUGCUUUCAGUUGGGAAGAAGAAAGUGACGGUACCAACAGAAGAAGCGACGGCUAAAUACGUGCCAGCAGCCGCGGUAAUACGUAUGUCGCAAGCGUUAUCCGGAUUUAUUGGUCGUAAAGCGCGUCUAGGCGGUUUGGUAAGUCUGAUGUGAAAAUGCGGGGCUCAACUCCGUAUUGCGUUGGAAACUGCCAAACUAGAGUACUGGAGAGGUAGGCGGAACUACAAGUGUAGAGGUGAAAUUCGUAGAUAUUUGUAGGAAUGCCGAUGGGGAAGCCAGCCUACUGGACAGAUACUGACGCUAAAGCGCGAAAGCGUGGGUAGCAAAACAGGAUUAGAUACCCUGGUAGUCCACGCCGUAAACGAUGAUUACUUAGGUGUUGGGGGUCGAACCUCAGCGGCCCAAGCUAAACGCGAUAAAGUAAAUCCGCCUGGGGAGUACGUACGCAAGUAUGAAACUCAAAGGAAAUUGACGGGGACCCGCACAAGCGGUGGAGCAUGUGGUUUAAUUCGAAGCAACGCGAAGAACCUUACCUAGGCUUGACAUCCUUCUGACCGAGGACUAAUCUCCUCUUUCCCUCCGGGGACAGAAGUGACAGGUGGUGCAUGGUUGUCGUCAGCUCGUGUCGUGAGAUGUUGGGUUAAGUCCCGCAACGAGCGCAACCCUUGUCUUUAGUUGCCAUCAUUUAGUUGGGCACUCUAGAGAGACUGCCAGGGAUAACCUGGAGGAAGGUGGGGAUGACGUCAAAUCAUCAUGCCCCUUAUGAGCAGGGCUACACACGUGCUACAAUGGCAUAAACAAAGGGAAGCAAUCGCGCGAGCGUGAGCAAAUCUCAAAAAUAACGUCUCAGUUCGGAUUGUAGUCUGCAACUCGACUACAUGAAGCUGGAAUCGCUAGUAAUCGCGAAUCAGAAUGUCGCGGUGAAUACGUUCCCGGGUCUUGCACUCACCGCCCGUCA
rnacentral:rRNA from 1 species